rnacentral:rRNA from 1 species
GCUUCGGUAACUGAGCUAGCGGCGGACGGGUGAGUAAUGCUUAGGAAUCUGCCUAUUAGUGGGGGACAACAUUCCGAAAGGAAUGCUAAUACCGCAUACGCCCUACGGGGGAAAGCAGGGGAUCUUCGGACCUUGCGCUAAUAGAUGAGCCUAAGUCAGAUUAGCUAGUUGGUGGGGUAAAGGCCUACCAAGGCGACGAUCUGUAGCGGGUCUGAGAGGAUGAUCCGCCACACUGGGACUGAGACACGGCCCAGACUCCUACGGGAGGCAGCAGUGGGGAAUAUUGGACAAUGGGCGCAAGCCUGAUCCAGCCAUGCCGCGUGUGUGAAGAAGGCCUUUUGGUUGUAAAGCACUUUAAGCGAGGAGGAGGCUACUUGGAUUAAUACUCUAGGAUAGUGGACGUUACUCGCAGAAUAAGCACCGGCUAACUCUGUGCCAGCAGCCGCGGUAAUACAGAGGGUGCGAGCGUUAAUCGGAUUUACUGGGCGUAAAGCGUGCGUAGGCGGCUUCUUAAGUCGGAUGUGAAAUCCCUGAGCUUAACUUAGGAAUUGCAUUCGAUACUGGGAAGCUAGAGUAUGGGAGAGGAUGGUAGAAUUCCAGGUGUA